CCUUCCACCAUGUUUGUGAGGCCUCCCCAGUCAUGUGGAAUUAUGAAAAAACACCAGUGAUGUGGCUGGACUCCAGGGUGAAUGGCCAUGUCAGACCCCAGAGAUGCUGCAUCCUUAACCUUAUUCUCCCAACUCAAAGAUUCUCUAGGCAUGGCAGGCUAUGAAGCACAGCCACGAAUCAAGUUGCUGACCGAAGCUGAUUCAAGGCACUUCAUCUUGGAAAUGGACCACUGUAUACAUUUUUCCUUCAGGAGGAAAGAAGGAAGGAAGGAAGAAAAGAAGGAAAGAAG